GAUGAACGCUGGCGGCGUGCUUAACACAUGCAAGUCGAACGAGAGAAGAUCGGUGCUUGCACUGAUCCGAUCGAGUGGCGGACGGGUGAGUAACGCGUGGGUAACCCGCCUCAUACAGGGGAAUAACAGUUGGAAACGGCUGCUAAAACCGCAUAAGCGCACAGUAUCGCAUGAUACAGUGUGAAAAACUACGGUGGUAUGAGAUGGACCCGCGUCUGAUUAGCUAGUUGGUGAGGUAACGGCGCACCAAGGCAACGAUCAGUAGCCGGCCUGAGAGGGUGAACUGCCACAUUGGGACUGAUACACGGCCCAAACUCCUACGGGAGGCAGCAGUGGGGAAUAUGGCACAAUGGGGGAAACCCUGAUGCAGCGACGCCGCGUGAGUGAUGAAGUAUUUCGGUAUGUAAAGCUCUAUCAGCAGGGAAGAUAAGGACGGUACCUGACUAAGAAGCACCGGCUAAAUACGUGCCAGCCGCCGCGGUAA
rnacentral:rRNA from 1 species